GUAAAAGUAAAGAAGCAGAAAUAAAAAGGAUAAACAAGGAACUGGCAAAUAUCAGAUCAAAAUUUAAAGGUGACAAGGCUCUUGAUGGCUAUAGUAAAAAAAAGUACGUCUGCAAGUUGCUCUUCAUCUUUCUCCUUGGUCAUGACAUUGACUUUGGACACAUGGAGGCUGUGAACCUGCUGAGUUCAAACAGAUACACGGAAAAGCAGAUCGGCUACCUUUUCAUCUCUGUGUUGGUGAACUCAAACAGUGAGCUGAUCCGCCUGAUCAACAACGCCAUCAAGAAUGACCUGGCCAGCCGCAACCCCACCUUCAUGGGCCUGGCCCUGCACUGCAUCGCCAGCGUGGGCAGCCGGGAGAUGGCCGAGGCCUUCGCCGGGGAGAUCCCUAAGGUCCUCGUAGCCGGAGACACUAUGGACAGCGUGAAGCAGAGCGCGGCCCUGUGCUUGCUGCGCCUGUACAGGACGUCCCCCGAUCUUGUCCCCAUGGGCGACUGGACAUCCCG
rnacentral:misc_RNA from 1 species